rnacentral:rRNA from 1 species
UAUUUAUUAGAUAAAAAACCAAUGCCCUUCGGGGCUCCUUGGUGAUUCAUAAUAACUUAACGAAUCGCAUGGCCUUGCGCCGGCGAUGGUUCACUCAAAUUUCUGCCCUAUCAACUUUCGAUGGUAAGAUAGUGGCUUACCAUGGUCUCAACGGGUAACGGGGAAUUAGGGUUCUAUUCCGGAGAGGGAGCCUGAGAAACGGCUACCACAUCCAAGGAAGGCAGCAGGCGCGCAAAUUACCCAAUCCCAAUUCGGGGAGGUAGUGACAAUAAAUACUGAUACGGGGCUCUUUCGGGUCUCGUAAUUGGAAUGAGUACAAUCUAAAUCCCUUAACGAGGAACAAUUGGAGGGCAAGUCUGGUGCCAGCAGCCGCGGUAAUUCCAGCUCCAAUAGCGUAUAUUAAAGUUGUUGCCGUUAAAAAGCUCGUAGUUGAACCUUGGACCUGGCUGAUCUGUCCUCCUAAUCGAGCGCACGGAUUCGGUCGGGUCUUUCCUUCUGGGGAGCCCUAUGCCCUUCACUGGGUGUAGUGGGGAACCAGGACUUUUACCUUGAAAAAAUUAGAGUGUUCAAAGCAGG